ACGGGAUCGUUUGUAUUGUAGCUAACUUAAGUAGCUGUGUUAACGUAACAUUAACGUCACCAGCCAAAGCAGUAACGCUAUAAAAUGUAACACGUUAGUCAAACGUAGAACAAACAUUAUCUAUUUAUCUAAUGUCGUGUAGGCUAUUCAUAUGGUAAUUAUUCAAUGGACGUUAUAUCACUUUGCUAGCUGGCAUAAAGAGCUAGCUAGCUAGCCUAGCUUCACAGAAGCAUAGCAAACGCGAUUAGCCAUGCGAUGUAGACGAUAAGGCUACAAUAAACAUAGUAGCUAAUAUUAUGGUUCUAACAUCGAGAAGCUUAAACACAAUACAGGUCAUCGCAAUAUAAGGUUACAUACUGUAUGUAUAAUUUAGGGACACUUUGCCAUAGGCCUAACAGUUGCAUACCUUAUUGUAACGUUCACUGAAAAAAUGCUUUUAACGUAGCCUAACGUUAGCUAACAUAGACUAACGUAUUGAACAGAACUACACCCUAGGCUAGCUAGGUAUGGAUAACUAGCAAUUAGUGGUUGCCAUAAAUGAGGGAUUCGCGGCGGAAACUGCCAACAAUACAUCAAUGAACAACAGUAUAACAAAAUAAUGCUUUUUAAACGAGCUACACAUAUAUAAUAUUAUUUUUGAAAACACUUACAGAUAUUGAUUGGGCAAGAGCUAACGGACAGUGGAUGGAGACGGUUGCCUUUUGUAGGUUUCUCUGUUGUCAUGGCAACACAUUUGACAUACUACUUCAUUCACACAUUACUCAGUCUAACAAAGAUAAACGUAAGAAAAAGUUCGUAAGUGUAGCCUAUUUCACUGGCAUUACAUUAAAUUAACCGAUAGGACGUUGCUAGAUUGCAACUACUGUACAUCGAAAUUGGUGACCACCGAAAACGUCUGUCGCUGGAGGUCGUUGUUAAGCAAUUCUAACCACUCGCUGUCGAGCAUAGACUCCACUGCUCGUCUUGCGCUGGCUCUGAAUAAGAAGAACCAUCGAGGACACGCACGGGCGGACUACGUAGGCCUACGUCGGGCUUGUGAAUUGGAUUUUCAUCCGUUAAAAUGAUGCUUCGUUUGCAUCUCAUUUUGUACAGAACAUAUUCUGUAUAUGGAAUAGGCCAUGUAAAUAGGCGACAAAAAUAAUAAUUAGGGAGUGUGGUAAAAUGACUUGUUACGUGCAUUAUCACAGCAAGGUAGCCUAAAUACUUGUUUAUACCGUGUUGUUGUGUAUCCUUGUACAUAAGUACAAUGCACGCUAUACAAUCUGUUCAUAAAAGUAUUCUUCUUUUGACAGUUUACUUGAAGAUCAUAUAUAGUUAAUGUAUGAGCACUAUAUACUAGGACUGUGGGACUGGUGGUUAGAAACUGGAACUAUGACGAAUGCAUGGCAAAAAUCAAUAAUUAUUUUCAAAAAUUGUGACUCUGCCCAUUGAAACUAGUCAAACAUGCUUUGAUGUGUACAGACGUAGGAGAAUAACAUAUCGCUUGAGAGAUUUUGGCUUGGGUGUGCCUCUUUUUCCAUGGGUACAGACAGAUCACAGAUUUUGUGAGCUGUUACAUGCCAGCUUAUUGAUGGUGACCCCUUGUCAACCUGUUGACACCAGUCAAACAUGCUUUGCUGUGUCCAAGCAUACGAUGAUGACAUCUCACCUCAGAGAUUUCUUAUGCCUAGAUAAUUGUGUUCAUAAUGGGGAUAAGAUGCUCUUAAGUGAUAUUCCUAAAAAAACAAUUUCUGCCUCAUUUGUGCUUGAGGGAAGCUGAGAAGGAGAACAUUAUGAAGGCCAUGAACUUGGAAACACUAUGGCUGGAAGUGGACAGCAAAUCUUGACCAAAUGCAAAGGUUUCUUUGUGGUCAUUGUAGCCAAAAUCCAUGGCAGAAGUCUUUGACGAGAUCCUCCGGGACCAUGCUGGAACUCGUUUCAAAAAUCAAGAUCUUUCACUGAAGGUAGAGCCCCAUGGCCAGCCCCAUUGUGGUGCCACCCACCUGUGAACCUGAGGAGGGAGAAGACCAGUCCAUUAAACUUCUCAGAAUUGUGUAAUGUGGUGCAAAUUUUGUUUUAAUUUCUGGUUUUUGAAAAGGUCAUUUAUUUUAAAUUAGACUUUUAAUUCUCUUUAAUGUCAUUUUGUUCAUUUAUGUAAUAGCAGGUGGACUCAGUAGGGCUUUUAUUUCUUAAAGUAUUGAAAACUGGUCAGUGUGAUUUAAAAAAAUGUGAAGAAUGAAGAACGGGGAUAAAAUGGUAUCUAAAAUUGGUGAAAUUUGAAUUAAUCUUAUAUCGAGAUAUAAAAAAAAAACACAC